GAGUAAAGCGGCGGACGGGUGAGUAAUGCUUGGGAAUCUACCCAGUAGCGGGGGACAACGUGUGGAAACGCACGCUAAUACCGCAUACGCCUUACGGGGGAAAGCGGGGGACCUUCGGGCCUCGCACUAUUGGAUGAGCCUAUGUCUGAUUAGCUAGUUGGUAGGGUAAAAGCCUACCAAGGCGACGAUCAGUAGCUGGUUUGAGAGGAUGAUCAGCCACACUGGGACUGAGACACGGCCCAGACUCC
rnacentral:rRNA from 1 species